GCCUUCUUAGCUCAGCUGGCAGAGCGUAUCCCUCGUAAGGAUAAGGUCGUCGGUUCGAUUCCGGCAGAAGGCA